GACGAACGCUGGCGGCGUGCCUAAUACAUGCAAGUAGAACGCAGUUGCGAACGGGUAAGUAACGCGUAGGUAACUGCCUCAUAGCGGGGGCGAACUAUUGGAAACGAUAGCUAAUACCGAAUUAUGUGAGAUGGAACUGCGUUGGAUUAGCUAGUUGGUGAGGGAAAGGCUCACCAAGGCGCCGAUACCUAGCCGACCUGAGAGGGUGAUCGGCCACGCUUGGACUGAGACACGGCCCAGACUCCUACGGUAGGCAGCAGUAGGUAAUCUUCGGCAAUUGACGGAAGUCUGACCGAGCAACGCCGCGUGAGUGAAGAAGUUUUUCGGAUCGUAAAGCUCUGUUGUUAGAGCAGCGGUAACUACCCAGAAAGGGACGGCUAACUACGUGCCAGCAGCCGCGGUAAUUC
rnacentral:rRNA from 1 species